AGUGCUCCCCACCCUCUCCCUGAGAGAAUCAAUGCCUGCUUCACCAUCUCUGACUACCGGGAGGCAACAUCCAAUGUGGUACACAGCACUGCUUUCUCUGAAGACGUUUCUUCCUUCUCUGCUGAGAAGGGUGCGGGCAUCCAAGAAGAUGUCUUGGGAUGCAGAGCCAAAGACUAUACACAGAAACUCUCCACGUUUCCUCUCUUUGAAUUGGUCUUCUUUGUUGUGAAGAACUUGAACAUAUUGAAAGAGAUGGGACCCCACUUCUUGGUAGCCAGGCCUAAAGGCCCGUCCAAAAUUUUUAGAUGGAAAAUGAAGACCAAAACAAACAUUUCUUUGGCUGGCAUCUGAAAGAGGCAUAAAAAAAUCCCAAUCUUACCACCCAAGACACAUUUCUCAAGAGCCUAAUGGCUUUGCACAUUUAGGUAACAAAAUACUCCUUCCUUUAAAAGACAAGGUUAUGGAGUAGUUGGCAUCUGUUUGCUGAUGAUGUUCCAUACUCUCUUUAGACAGGGAUACCCCAUCCCCAAUAAUAUAUAAACAUUUGUGCUGAUGAAUGCACGUUUUCUGUCUUUAAAUUAUUGGGAAAUGCAUAUAUUUGUACUGCAAUGUCAAUUUUGAAAGUUUUAAAAUAGUCUUCCAUGAGUGCUUCACAAUACAGAUCACAUCAGUUUUAUUGGUGGUAAAUAAAAUAAAGGCAAAUACCUUUCCUCACUCGAUGGAAAAGAUCUGAUAUUACUUGAUCAAUAUUAAUCACCUUGCUUUAUAUUCACUUUUUGGAGGCACAUGAAAACAACAGUAGACAUCCUCUAUAUAUACGCCAGAAUGUAUUAGAAUAGGGACACAAUCCAGUUCUUUAAUGUGGAGGUUUAAUAUUGCGAAUGUACACCAGAGCACUGGUCCCCGUGCUAAAAUAAUUCAUGGGAGAAAGAACGCUCCCCCCCCCGCCCCAUCCCCAGGAGAGGACGUUUCCCGGCACUUGUUAGUCUGGUCCUGCAGAGCUGGGAGCAAAGAGUGAAAAAGUUGCCCAGACUGGCAUGUUAUGUCCAUCCUUUAUUCUGCCAUCAUAGGGCUGUGGGUGAGCGCAUUUCUUCAGCCCCCUCCCCCCACUUCUGUUCUAAGUGCCAGUUCAUGGGAUCCAGGAUGGGGUUUUGAAUACCUUCCAGCAGGAAAUACACUCCCUGUCACCACAGGCUUUCUGUGGCCAGACCCUCUUGCCUGACAACAUGCAUGUGUUCAGUGGCACAACUAUUCUGGGGUGGCAGUAGGUUUUGCACAUGAUUAGGCCCUCACACAGAUUUGGGCAGAAACACUUUUCCUCCUUCUGCAGCUUGUCCCCUGUGCAUGCACUCAGGGAGCCGGAUAUUGCUCCAAGCCCUUAGGUAGCCUUAGGUUAGUUUGUUCUGUAAGAGACCAAAAGCAUUUCACUGUUUGGUUCAAAUUGUUCAGCACAAAAUAGAUUCCAAAUAUCUACUUGCAAUAAAGAGCAAAGCAGUGGGUUAUCAACAGGCACUUGUCAAGUGAUCAAAUUCAUUUAAAAAUAUUUCUGUUUGAAUUGUAAUAACUAGUCCAUGCACCUGGGAAAAAGAAAAUAAUUCAUAGUCAGCCAAAUGACAGCUUAAUCUUGCAACCACUUUUCACUUGGGAAGCCACCCAAGAAUCAAUGGUAAAACUUUGCCUGGAGUUGUUGCUGGCUUGGACUGAAAAUUGGUAUAUACCUGUGGCUUGAUUAGAUCUUGUGAGAAAUAUUUGUAAUAAAGUGGCACAGAGUAUGACUAUACUUUAUGUAGUGCAUUUUUCUGAGGGGGGGGGAAUAAUCACAUGGUAUUUAUCAGCAUUUCUAGAAAGCUGUCAACCAUUAAGUGGUGCUUGUAACCCCCUUUUUAAAAAUGUAAAUCCACUGUGGUGUAAUAUAUCAAAGAAAUAAAAGCUAGAAAGUUG